rnacentral:rRNA from 1 species
UACGGAGGGUGCGAGCGUUAUUCGGAAUUACUGGGCGUAAAGCGCGCGUAGGCGGCAUGGUAAGUCUGAUGUGAAAUCCCGGGGCUCAACCCCGGAAGUGCAUUUGAAACUGCUCUGCUUGAGUACUGAAGAGGAAGGGGGAAUUCCAGGUGUAGCGGUGAAAUGCGUAGAUAUCGGGAGGAAUACCGGUGGCGAAGGCAGCCUUCUGGCAUGAUACUGACGCUGAGGUGCGAAAGCGUGGGGAGCAAACAGG